rnacentral:rRNA from 1 species
UUGAACGCUGGCGGCAGGCCUAACACAUGCAAGUCGAGCGGAUGAAGGGAGCUUGCUCCUGGAUUCAGCGGCGGACGGGUGAGUAAUGCCUAGGAAUCUGCCUGGUAGUGGGGGAUAACGUCCGGAAACGGGCGCUAAUACCGCAUACGUCCUGAGGGAGAAAGUGGGGGAUCUUCGGACCUCACGCUAUCAGAUGAGCCUAGGUCGGAUUAGCUAGUUGGUGGGUAAAGGCCUACCAAGGCGAC